rnacentral:lncRNA from 1 species
CAAACAGCUUUUGUUCAGGAGUCCAAGAACCGAGUUCAGCCUGGAAAAAAAACAGCACAACUUCUUUCCUCACUUUCUAGCAGGAAGAAACACUACCUGCCUGGGCUGCUUUUUUCCCUUCCCUCCUCCUCCUCGGAGCGCAAACAAUGUUCUUUUGAUGCUUUCCUGCGAGUGGGAAUCUCGCCCUGGAGAAGGAGACAAAACUUUGGUACCUGUGAAACGAAGACUGCUUAGGUAGCAGUGGAAAUGAAAGCAAUUCCAUUUGCCACACGGGCUCCACAAAUCUCGUUUUGUCGGCGCUUCAGUCGCUGCGUGAGGUAGCUCCGUCCUCGGCGCGUGUUGGGAUCUGGGAAUUUGGUGGCUCAUUACUGAACUGCUGCCUGUGCCCUGCAAAACGAGGCUGCACAUCCUACCCUGGGACACCCUCGGCCAGCCUGCAAGAAAAACAGGCUCCUCUUCAGAGUGCCUCCCUAGAAAACACUCGGUUAGCAGCAGAAAAUACCUGUCUGCAUGAGAGGCUGCGCUGCUUUCCAACAACAACAACAACAAAACCUGUGUGAUUGUGAUUUCUGCUCCGAGCAGGGCUUGGGGUGACACCCAG